GAUGAACGCUAGCGGCAGGCCUAACACAUGCAAGUCGAGGGGCAGCACAGAAACAGCACUGUUUUGGUGGCGACCGGCGGACGGGUGCGUAACGCGUAUGCAACCUACCUUUAACAGGGGGAUAACGGAGAGCACUUUCCACUAAUACCCCAUAACAUCGAUCAAGGCAUCUUGAUUGGUUGAAAACUCAGGUGGUUACAGAUGGGCAUGCGUUGUAUUAGGUAGUUGGUGAGGUAAUGGCUCACCAAGCCUACGAUACAUAGGGGGACUGAGAGGUUAGCCCCCCACACCGGUACUGAGACACGGACCAGACUCCUACGGGAGGCAGCAGUGAGGAAGAUUGGUCAAUGGGGGCAACCCUGAACCAGCCAUGCCGCGUGCAGGAAGACGGCUCUAUGAGUUGUAAACUGCUUUUAAACAGGGAUAAAGCACAGUAUGUAUACUGUGUUGAAGGUACUGUAAGAAUAAGGAUCGGCUAACUCCGUGCCAGCCGCCGCGGUAA
rnacentral:rRNA from 1 species